rnacentral:rRNA from 1 species
GAUGAACGCUGGCGGCGUGCCUAAUACAUGCAAGUCGAGCGAAUGGAUUAAGAGCUUGCUCUUAUGAAGUUAGCGGCGGACGGGUGAGUAACACGUGGGUAACCUGCCCAUAAGACUGGGAUAACUCCGGGAAACCGGGGCUAAUACCGGAUAACAUUUUGAACCGCAUGGUUCGAAAUUGAAAGGCGGCUUCGGCUGUCACUUAUGGAUGGACCCGCGUCGCAUUAGCUAGUUGGUGAGGUAACGGCUCACCAAGGCAACGAUGCGUAGCCGAGCUGGGAGGGUGAUCGGCCACACUGGGACUGAGACACGGCCCAGACUCCUACGGGAGGCAGCAGUAGGGAAUCUUCCGCAAUGGACGAAAGUCUGACGGAGCAACGCCGCGUGAGUGAUGAAGGCUUUCGGGUCGUAGAACUCUGUUGUUAGGGAAGAACAAGUGCUAGUUGAAUAAGCUGGCACCUUGACGGUACCUAACCAGAAAGCCACGGCUAACUACGUGCCAGCCGCCGCCGCCG